AGUGAACGCUGGCGGUAGGCCUAACACAUGCAAGUCGAACGGCAGCACAGGAGAGCUUGCUCUCUGGGUGGCGAGUGGCGGACGGGUGAGGAAUACAUCGGAAUCUACUCUUUCGUGGGGGAUAACGUAGGGAAACUUACGCUAAUACCGCAUACGACCUUCGGGUGAAAGCAGGGGAUCUUAGGGCCUUGCGCGAUUGAAUGAGCCGAUGUCGGAUUAGCUAGUUGGCGGGGUAAAGGCCCACCAAGGCGACGAUCCGUAGCUGGUCUGAGAGGGUGAUCAGCCAAAUGGGAGUUGGAACAAGGUCCAGACUCCGACGUGAGGCAGCAGUGGGGAAUAUUGGACAAUGGGCGCAAGCCUGAUCCAGCCAUACCGCGUGGGUGAAGAAGGCCUUCGGGUUGUAAAGCCCUUUUGUUGGGAAAGAAAAGCACUUGGUUAAUACCCUUGUGGCCUGACGGUACCCAAAGAAUAAGCACCGGCUAACUUCGUUCCAGCAGCCGCCGUAA
rnacentral:rRNA from 1 species